AUUGAACGCUGGCGGUAGGCUUAACACAUGCAAGUCGAGCGGGGGAAGGUAGCUUGCUACCGGACCUAGCGGCGGACGGGUGAGUAAUGCUUAGGAAUCUGCCUAUUAGUGGGGGACAACAUCUCGAAAGGGAUGCUAAUACCGCAUACGUCCUACGGGAGAAAGCAGGGGAUCUUCGGACCUUGCGCUAAUAGAUGAGCCUAAGUCGGAUUAGCUAGUUGGUGGGGUAAAGGCCUACCAAGGCGACGAUCUGUAGCGGGUCUGAGAGGAGGAGCGGCCACACUGGGCCUGAGACACGGCCCAGACUCCUACGGGAGGCAGCAGUGGGGAAUAUUGGACAAUGGGGGGAACCCUGAUCUAGCCAUGCCGCGUGUGUGAAGAAGGCCUUAUGGUUGUAAAGCACUUUAAGCGAGGAGGAGGCUCUUUUGGUUAAUACCCAAGAUGAGUGGACGUUACUCGCAGGAUAAGCACCGGCUAACUCUGUGCCAGCCGCCGCCGUAA
rnacentral:rRNA from 1 species